rfam:Zootermopsis nevadensis contig21125, whole genome shotgun sequence.
GCCACGGUGGUCUAGCGGUUAGAACGCUGGCCUUGUAAUCCUGGGGUCUCGGGUUCGAUUCCCUGCGGUGCCC